GGCUGGUCUGAGUGCUUUACAACUAAUUGAUCACAACCAGUUACAGAUUUCUUUGUUCCUUCUCCACUCCCACUGCUUCACUUGAUUAGCCUUUA
rnacentral:Y_RNA from 1 species